AGAGUUUGAUCCUGGCUCAGAUUGAACGCUGGCGGCAUGCCUUACACAUGCAAGUCGAACGGCAGCGCGGGAGCAAUCCUGGCGGCGAGUGGCGAACGGGUGAGUAAUACAUCGGAACGUGCCCAAUCGUGGGGGAUAACGCAGCGAAAGCUGUGCUAAUACCGCAUACGAUCUACGGAUGAAAGCAGGGGAUCGCAAGACCUUGCGCGAAUGGAGCGGCCGAUGGCAGAUUAGGUAGUUGGUGAGGUAAAGGCUCACCAAGCCUUCGAUCUGUAGCUGGUCUGAGAGGACGACCAGCCACACUGGGACUGAGACACGGCCCAGACUCCUACGGGAGGCAGCAGUGGGGAAUUUUGGACAAUGGGCGAAAGCCUGAUCCAGCCAUGCCGCGUGCAGGAUGAAGGCCUUCGGGUUGUAAACUGCUUUUGUACGGAACGAAACGGCCUUUUCUAAUAAAGAGGGCU
rnacentral:rRNA from 1 species